UACGAAGGGGGCUAGCGUUGCUCGGAAUCACUGGGCGUAAAGCGCACGUAGGCGGAUUGUUAAGUCAGGGGUGAAAUCCUGGAGCUCAACUCCAGAACUGCCUUUGAUACUGGCGAUCUCGAGUCCGGGAGAGGUGAGUGGAACUGCGAGUGUAGCGGUGAAAUGCGCAGAUAUCGGGAAGAACACCCGUGGCGAAGGCGGGUCUCUGGGGCCGAUACUGACGCUGAGGAGCGAAAGCGUGGGGAGCGAACAGG
rnacentral:rRNA from 1 species